AAACGCUCCUUCAGUUACAGUGGAGCCUCUUUAUGGAAUGGCCUGCCAGAAUCUCUUAGAUCAGUAACCUCUCUCGCUGCAUUUAAGACAGGUUUAGAAGCCUUCUUACUAAUAAUCGAUCUGACUCCCACACGGCAAUCAGGUAGAACAGUAUCUAUAUUUCUUUUUGCUCCUUUUAAAAUUUUUUAAUAUUUUUGUAAAUAUUACUAUACUGAUGAUUUUCCGUGUUUAAAUAAAGUUGAUGUAUGU